rnacentral:rRNA from 1 species
GACGAACGCUGGCGGCAGGCCUAACACAUGCAAGUCGAGCGGCAGCGCGUCCGACCACCCUCGGGUGGUCGGAUGGCGGCGAGCGGCGGACGGGUGAGGAAUGCAUCGGAAUCUGCCUCGUUGUGGGGGAUAACGUAGGGAAACUUACGCUAAUACCGCAUACGACCUACGGGUGAAAGUGGGGGACCUUCGGGCCUCACGCGAUGAGAUGAGCCGAUGCCGGAUUAGCUAGUUGGCGGGGUAAAGGCCCACCAAGGCGACGAUCCGUAGCUGGUCUGAGAGGAUGAUCAGCCACACUGGAACUGAGACACGGUCCAGACUCCUACGGGAGGCAGCAGUGGGGAAUAUUGGACAAUGGGGGCAACCCUGAUCCAGCCAUGCCGCGUGUGUGAAGAAGGCCUCGGUUGUAAG